rnacentral:rRNA from 1 species
CACGUAGGGCGCAAGCGUUGUCCGGAAUUAUUGGGCGUAAAGAGCUCGUAGGCGGUCUGUUACGUCUGCUGUGAAAACCCAGGGCUUAACCCUGGGCUUGCAGUGGAUACGGGCAGACUAGAAUCAGGUAGGGGAGAACGGAAUUCCUGGUGUAGCGGUGAAAUGCGCAGAUAUCAGGAGGAACACCGGUGGCGAAGGCGGUUCUCUGGGCCUGUACUGACGCUGAGGAACGAAAGCGUGGGGAGCGAACAGG